GAAAAGAAACAGGAAGCUUCUAACUUCCAACUAGGUUAAAAAUCUUCUUUUCU
rnacentral:tRNA from 1 species